AAGACCUUGCGCUUUUGGAGCGGCCGAUGUCUGAUUAGCUUGUUGGUAAGGUAAAAGCUUACCAAGGCUUCGAUCAGUAGCUGGUCUGAGAGGACGACCAGCCACACUGGGACUGAGACACGGCCCAGACUCCUACGGGAGGCAGCAGUGGGGAAUUUUGGACAAUGGGGGCAACCCUGAUCCAGCCAUGCCGCGUGAGUGAAGAAGGCCUUCGGGUUGUAAAGCUCUUUCAGCCGGAACGAAACGGUUACGGUUAAUACCCGUGACUACUGACGGUACCGGAAGAAGAAGCACCGGCUAACUACGUGCCAGCAGCCGCGGUAAUACGUAGGGUGCAAGCGUUAAUCGGAAUUACUGGGCGUAAAGCGUGCGCAGGUGGUUUUGUAAGUCAGAUGUGAAAUCCCCAGGCUUAACCUGGGAACU
rnacentral:rRNA from 1 species